UGGCAAACGGGUGAGUAAUGUAUAGGAAUCUACCUAACAGUAUGGAAUAACCUUGGGAAACCAAAGCUAAUACCAUAUAUUACCAAUUUAUUGGGAAAGAUUUAUCGCUGUUAGAUGAGCCUGUAUCAGAUUAGCUUGUUGGUGGGGUAAUGGCCUACCAAGGCGAUGAUCUGUAGCUGGUCUGAGAGGAUGAUCAGCCACACUGGGACUGCGACACGGCCCAGACUUC
rnacentral:rRNA from 1 species